UGAGGAAUAUUGGUCAAUGGGCGAGAGCCUGAACCAGCCAAGUAGCGUGCAGGAUGACGGCCCUAUGGGUUGUAAACUGCUUUUAUGUGGGGAUAAAGUGCGUGAUGUGUCAUGCAUUGCAGGUACCACAUGAAUAAGGACCGGCUAAUUCCGUGCCAGCAGCCGCGGUAAUACGGAAGGUCCGGGCGUUAUCCGGAUUUAUUGGGUUUAAAGGGAGCGUAGGCUGUCUAUUAAGCGUGUUGUGAAAUUUACCGGCUCAACCGGUGGCUUGCAGCGCGAACUGGUCGACUUUAGUAUGCAGGAAGUAGGCGGAAUUCAUGGUGUAGCGGUGAAAUGCUUAGAUAUCAUGACGAACUCCGAUUGCGCAGGCAGCUUACUGUAGCAUAACUGACGCUGAUGCUCGAAAGUGCGGGUAUCAAACAGG
rnacentral:rRNA from 1 species